rnacentral:rRNA from 1 species
UACGAAGGGGGCUAGCGUUGUUCGGAAUCACUGGGCGUAAAGCGCGCGUAGGCGGCUUGGCAAGUCGGAUGUGAAAUCCCUCGGCUCAACCAAGGAAGUGCAUCCGAAACUGCUGAGCUUGAGUACUUAAGAGGAUCGCGGAAUUCCCGGUGUAGAGGUGAAAUUCGUAGAUAUCGGGAGGAACACCAGUGGCGAAGGCGGCGAUCUGGGAAGAUACUGACGCUGAGGUGCGAAAGCGUGGGGAGCAAACAGG